rnacentral:rRNA from 1 species
AAUUAUAAAUUUACUAAUUUUUUUUCCCGUAAUAUUACAGAAAUAUCUUUAUAAUAUAGUAUAUUAAAGAAAAUUUAUUUUUUGUUAUAGUUUAAUAGUACCGUGAGGGAAUUUAUUGAAAUAUUUGAAAAUUUUAUUUUUGGUUAAGUAUACUUAAUUUGUAGUACCUUUUGUAUCAGGGUUAAUCAAAUAUAUUANNNNNNNNNNNNNNNNNNNNUCUCGAUUUCAGAAGAGCUAAACUAUUAAUUUAUUUAUUGUUACAAAACUAUUAAUAAUAUAGUUUAGGGGGGAAAUCCUAUUCGUUUUUGAUGGUAUCUGGUUUUUUAAGAAUUAAAUUUAAUUUAAUUUCAUUAUUUAAUUUUUAUCUUUUUAUUAAAGGUUAUUUAUUGAAUUAAAAAUUGUAGGGGAUAAGCUCUACAUUAAUCUAAAAUAUUUAUUAUUAAUCAAUUUAUAUAGGGUUAAGAUUAUCCAUUAUUAUUAGGUGUGUUAUAAUUUAUAUUGAUUAUUAAUUAAUUUAUUUAUUUUUAGAAUCAUAUUAAAAUAUCUAGAUUAAUUUUUUGUUUAGUGAAAUAAUGAUUAAAUUAGUAUAAUUAAUAUGUUUAAUAUAAUUUUUUAUUUAUAAUAAGAUAAGGAAUUCGGCAAAUGUAAUACUCGCCUGUUUAACAAAAACAUGUCCUUUUGAGUAUAAAUAAAAGGUCUGACCUGCCCAGUGAUUUAUUUUAACGGCCGCGGUAUAUUGACCGUGCAAAGGUAGCAUAAUCAUUAGUCUUUUAAAAGAGGGCUGGAAUGAAGGGUUUGACGAGGUAUUAACUGUCUCAUUUUAUUGGAAUUAGAAUUUAACUUWUUAGUCAAAAGGCUUAAAUUUAAUUGGUAGACGAGAAGACCCUAUAGAGCUUUAUAUUAACUUUUUUGAUUUUUAUUUAGAUAAUUUUUAAUUAUGGGAUUUAGUAUUUUGUWGGGGUGACAAGAAAAUAAAAAUAACUUUUUUAAUUAUUUAACAUUAAUAUAUGAUUAUUUGAUCCAAUAUUAUUGAUUAAUAGAUUAAGUUACCUUAGGGAUAACAGCGUAAUCCUCCCCCAGAGUUCAUAUUUACGGGUAGGGC